rnacentral:rRNA from 1 species
UUAAAUUGAAGAGUUUGAUCAUGGCUCAGAUUGAACGCUGGCGGCAGGCCUAACACAUGCAAGUCGAACGGUAACAGGAAGUAGCUUGCUGCUUCGCUGACGAGUGGCGGACGGGUGAGUAAUGUCUGGGAAACUGCCUG